rnacentral:sRNA from 1 species
GACCGCUGCCGUGCCAGCGCACGUCAGCCAAGGCCAGACGGACAGCCGGGUCGAAUGCCGA